rnacentral:rRNA from 1 species
UGUGACGUUACCAAACUGUUGCCUCGGCGGGAUUUCUGCCCCGGGCGCGUCGCAGCCCCGGACCAAGGCGCCCGCCGGAGGACCAAUUUACAAACUCUUUUGUAUAUCCCAUCGCGGAUUCUUUACAUUCUGAGCUUUCUCGGCGCUCCUAGCGAGCGUUUCGAAAAUGAAUCAAAACUUUCAACAACGGAUCUCUUGGUUCUGGCAUCGAUGAAGAACGCAGCGAAAUGCGAUAAGUAAUGUGAAUUGCAGAAUUCAGUGAAUCAUCGAAUCUUUGAACGCACAUUGCGCCCGCCAGUAUUCUGGCGGGCAUGCCUGUCCGAGCGUCAUUUCAACCCUCGAACCCCUCCGGGGGGUCGGCGUUGGGGAUCGGCACUUACCUGCCGGCCCCGAAAUACAGUGGCGGUCUCGCCGCAGCCUCUCCUGCGCAGUAGUUUGCACACUCGCACCGGGAGCGCGGCGCGUCCACGGCCGUAAAACAACCCAAACUUCUGAAAUGUUGACCUCGGAUCAGGUAGGAAUACCCGCUGAACUUAAGCAUAUCA